GACAGAGGGUGCAAACGUUGUUCGGAAUUACUGGGCGUAAAGCACGUGUAGGCUGCUCUGCAAGUCGGGUGUGAAAGCCCCGGGCUCAACCUGGGAAGUGCACUCGAAACUGCAGAGCUCGAGUCCUGGAGAGGAAGGCGGAAUUCUCGGUGUAGAGGUGAAAUUCGUAGAUAUCGAGAGGAACACCGGUGGCGAAGGCGGCCUUCUGGACAGUGACUGACGCUGAGACGCGAAAGCGUGGGGAGCAAACAGG
rnacentral:rRNA from 1 species